GAGUUAAUUUACCCAAUAAGGAUCUUUUAUUAAUUGAUUGAAGUAAUCUUGCUUCAUUCAUCACAGAUUCAUUCUGUUUUAUAAAACUUUAAAUUUUGUUGCACAGAUUAUUUUUAGUACAGGUGUCUCUCAUUUAUGUAAUAGAGAUUUUACUGUGGAAUUUGUUUUAUUUUCUAUGUAUUUCUAUUCAGAUCACAUGUCUCAAAGGGGAAAAUUAUCUACCAUAUCCUACAUAGUACAAUGAAAUAAACAUUUUUAAAUGCAUAUUUUAGCAGAAAAUAUAAACAGUGGUGUUAAUGCUGCAGUGUUAACAUUGAUGCAUGGUGGUGUACGCAUGAGAGAAAAACAGAAAAAUGAUGGACUCACAAACAUAUUUAUUCUGAUUUAAAUUCUUUAACUUCUCCCCCAUAGAAAUUCUCAAAGGGAAUUUCAAAUUUCAGUCCCUCACAUUAUGCAAUUUUUCCCAUCGUUUUAAUGUCACUUAUUGUUUCUCUGUCCAGCAAUGUUGAUGCGGUUUGCAAAAGUAGCCUUGGAAGUAAAGAGGCAAGAGAAAACCAAAUUUGACCUUGAUUAGUGACAGUUUAUCCAGGUAACUGGUAGUGACUGGAUAUUAAUAAAAAGAUGACGUACAAAACUUAAAAUUCAGUUAACAUUGUUUUUUUGGAAUGAGGUUUUCCUUGGUGUUAAAUAAUUUUAUCCCAAGUAAGAGAUACCUGUAUUUUAAUACAACCAUGCUAUCUACAUAAUCAAAUAUACAUUGGUUGGAGUGUUAGUACAAAUAAUCUCUCCCUCCAGAUAAGAAUCUCCCAAUUUUUAGUGUAUGUGAUCCAGGAAAUUGUAUUGUGUGCUUACAUUUUUGAAAAUAUAAAAAUGACUGACUUUAGAUAUAUUAUUUUGAAGUGAUUGUAUUAGUUUCUUAAACUUACGACUAACUAAAUGUAGCAACAUACCCAUGAAAAACCAGACCAAAAUUGAACGCAUAUUAUCACUGUGACCUUGAGCUUAGAGUCGUAUAGGAUAAAACAGACUGUGCCUUAAAAUGAAGGAAUGCCCUACUAUUUUAUAACUGUAUAUUUUAUUAUGGGUGGUCUUCUUAGAUUGGCCCCCCCCUUUUUUUUCCUUAAAGUUGAUGAAGUAAAAAUUUUAAAGUUGACCAGUAUUUCUUUGCUCUAGAGGCUUCCCUUAAUUUCCAGAGUUCUCAUUUUGAAUUAAAAUUUACUUACACUUCAUAGAUGUAGAAAAGUAAUUUUGGUUAAAGUUUAUGAAAAUAAAUUUAUUUUAGGAAAAGGUGGUGGCACUUCUGUUUUGCACUUGUUUACAUGUGGAAAAAUCUUCAAAUGUAAUUUUUUUGUCUUUUUAAUAAGUAAACUAUCAAAGACAUGAAUUCUUCCUUAAGACCUAUACUUACUUUUCCUGAGAUUAUUGAGGCUCAUAUUUGAAUAUCACACUUAGUUUACCCAAUAACGAAUUUUCGGUUCUUAAACGCAGACUCAUGCAGUAUAUUUUUAAACAUAAUUUCCCCCUUUUCUCUUUUUCCUUGCUAAUAAUUAUUUUUAAGGUAUCAACUGGUUCCAACUGUUGUGUUAAUGUUUUUUUUAAUGUAAAGAGUUGUAUUUUUACUGUGCUUAUUUUAAAAUAAUAUAAUUUCUAUUAAGACAAAUUAUUCCAUUCAUAGGACAUAAUGGCCUCUGCUAAAAGAUGCCCACAUCUCUGUGUACUUAGGAUUUGUUGUAUUUUUUUCAGUGUCAAUUUUGAACAUAAACUCAACACAUUUCUUCUUCCCAUUUCAUCUCUACUACCUCUCCUCAAAGACAAAAAUCUCAGUUUCUCUACAAGUCAGUAGAAAGAAAACAUGUCUUUCCUUAAAACAUGUUAAGUUUAAGAUGGAAAUAGUUUGGGCAAGGAAAUGUAAUAAAAUACAUGGCUGUCAACCUGCAUCCAUCUUUAUGUUAUAGUUAAAAGUUUAUAAAGGACAAACUAUGUGUUACGCUAAGAAAGACCCAGUAAUCCUUUAUUUGCAAAUUAAUAACUUUGUUCUCAUCCAGAAAACACAGUGCAUAGUAACAAUUAGUGCAAAGAAGGUUGUCCUGUAGUAUAUACAGAAAAAUGAUUUUCACCUUGCAGAUUUUUCCAUUUAAAUAUGCAUGAUCUUCUCCAGUACUUUGUAUAAGGUGUAUGAAACACACGUGUGAUUUUGUGUGUAUUUUUUAUAUAAGUACGACACUACGUUUAACUGGUUGUAAUUCACAAAAAGUGCUAUUUAUUAUACUCUGUAGAGUGUUGUAUGUGUUUUUAUCUGUGUUUCAGCGUUAUGGUGUGGGGUUUCAUAGGUGAAUAUUUGCCCUCAGUCUUCGCUCAGGUAUUAAUGUGUAGCAAUUUUUGGUGCUUUCUUUUUAAUCUGUCGUAAUCUGGUGUUCUGAAUGUUCAACAAUAAAUUUGGUGAA
rnacentral:lncRNA from 1 species